UAAAUAAAUUUAAUCAAAUAAAGACUACUUCAGUCAAUUUUCACUGUAUUUAAUCACCUAUUGCAAGAGCAAAACUAGAAUAGUAUUACUAAUCCAUAAUUCAAUCCCAGUUACUUAGGCAUUUUACAAGUGAAAUGCAAAGUUAUCUGUCAAUACUAAGGUUUUUUAAAGAGAAGUACACAUACACAUCAAAAUGUACUACUCAUUCAAAUAACUAUUAGAUAAUCAUGAACAGUAUGUUCAUACAAGUAAGAGCCCUAUCAGAAAGAACAGUGUCUUGCAUACCAAAAUCCAAAUCACCACAGGAAAGGGGGCAAAAAGGUCGAUUCCAUAGGACACUAGAAUUGAUUGAAGUAGCGAUUGGUGUCUGGCAAUGAAUUUUAAUGAUUUAAUCACAGAAUUAGUAAUGAACAACCAACGGGGCUCUGGCAAAAGAAAUGCCAAGUGUGAAAAGAAUAGGGAGAGGCUUGUUUAAUUUUGAUCUUCCUCUGAAAACAGAUCACAAAAUGAUUCAUCGAAUCCGAUCCUUCACUUUCAAGACCAGGAAUUUCAAAUUUACACCACUUUGAAUUGGCAUAAUCAACGCCACAACUUCAAAGUCAAGAAUCCUCAUCAUUCCAAUUAAAACUGCAUUGGGAGAAAACAUGAAUGCAGUUUCACCUUUCAAAAACAUUUGUAAACAAAGAAAAUUAGGUACACAAAAAAUCACAUGAAGUGUUUAGGCGAAGAAAUCAAAUUUUUACCCGUGCUUAUUAUUAGAUGCAAAGAAAGAGAAUCCUUUUGAUCCAAGACAAAAU
rnacentral:lncRNA from 1 species